AUGGACAGCCGGGGUCUUGCUCGCAUAAAUUCUUCUUUCCUUGUGCUGAUCCCCAAAAAGCAAGGGGCAGACUCUCUUCAGGAUUUCAGGCCAAUCUCACUGCUUCAUAGUUUAAUCAAGAUAUUCUCCAAGAUUCUGGCGAGCCGGCUUGCGCCCAAGCUGGAUGGUUUGAUUGAUCAAUGUCAAAGUGCCUUCAUCAAGAAGCGGUGUAUACAGGAGAAUUUUUUGUACGUUCAGAACACUGCGCGGAAACUGCACAAAUCAAAGAAAUCUUCAAUACUGCUAAAAUUGGACAUUGCCAAGGCCUUCGAUUCACUCUCAUGGCCUUACUUGAUGGAGAUGAUGGAGGCAAGAGGCUUUGGCACGCGCUGGCGUGAAUGGAUUGCCAUGUUACUCAGGACCGCAACCUCCCAGGUGAUCAUAAACGGUCAACACUCGGAGGCAAUUCAACACCGGCAAGGGCUUAGACAAGGGGAUCAGAUAUCUCCUUUCCUUUUCAUUCUCGCCAUGGACCCGUUGCAAAGAAUGAUGAAUCUGGCCACUACUAGCAGUGUC
rnacentral:rRNA from 1 species